rnacentral:rRNA from 1 species
GACGAACGCUGGCGGCGCGCCUAACACAUGCAAGUCGAACGAGCGAGCGAGAGCUUGCUUUCUCGAGCGAGUGGCGAACGGGUGAGUAACGCGUGAGGAACCUGCCUCAAAGAGGGGGACAACAGUUGGAAACGACUGCUAAUACCGCAUAAGCCCACGGCUCGGCAUCGAGCAGGGGGAAAAGGAGCAAUCCGCUUUGAGAUGGCCUCGCGUCCGAUUAGCUAGUUGGUGGGGUAACGGCCCACCAAGGCGACGAUCGGUAGCCGGACUGAGAGGUUGAAGGGGCAGCUGGGGGGGAGGGCCCGGGCCGGGCCCCAGGGGGGAGGAGGGGGGGGGAAAUAUGGAAGAAGGGGGGAACCUCGGAGGCGGCGGCGGCGGGGGGAGAAAGAGGUUUUUGAGAUUAAACACCUGUUUUGUGGGGAAAGAAAAGACCGGCCCCAAAAAAGGAGGUGCGGGCAAACUACGUC